CAGUAGCCGCGGGAAUACGUAGGUGGCAAGCGUUGUCCGGAAUUAUUGGGCGUAAAGGGCUCGCAGGCGGUUUCUUAAGUCUGAUGUGAAUGCCCCCGGCUCAACCGGGGAGGGUCAUUGGAAACUGGGAAACUUGAGUGCAGAAGAGGAGAGUGGAAUUCCACGUGUAGCGGUGAAAUGCGUAGAGAUGUGGAGGAACACCAGUGGCGAAGGCGACUCUCUGGUCUGUAACUGACGCUGAGGAGCGAAAGCGUGGGGAGCGAACAGGAUUAGAUACCCCAGUAGUCCCUGUCUCUUAUAC
rnacentral:rRNA from 1 species